CAAGCAUGACAAAUAUUCUUGAUCUUAAUCAGUUAGAUACCACAUGUCAACCAUAUGCAAUGAAUAUGGACACCAUUGAAUUGGCAAAUACCCUAGGUUUUACUCAAUUUGCAACUCAAAACCCCAUCAGCAUGAUAGACUUGCUACAAGCUUCAAUAGUUUCAGGCACACAAGCCAAGGGAAAUGUUAUAGAUUCACAAAACUGGUGUUUUGGCACAAAUUUGGAUGGAGGAUACCAACCAUCAUCUCAGGAUAGGCAAUAAGACCAUAUUAGAUUCAGUCUUUUGCUUCUUAUGAAAAUGCAUUGAUGAGGCCAAUGUUCUCUCAUCUUUCGGUGGACAUGGGUGAGGAAUUGUCUAGGAUGUUUUGGCAUUGGAUCCUCCUGAAGUAUCCUCCGAUUCAGACUAAGAUUCUGGCAAGUGCACUCAUUUUGCAUCGAUAUCUGUUUAUGAAAUGUAACUUGAAUUUUUAUAGUUGUAUCUUGUUUCUGUGUAAUUGGAGUUUCAUCAACA